GGCUAUACUGCAGUCGACGCUUCUUUUUCCACCGGAGCUUGCUCCACCGGAAAAAGAGGAGUGGCGAACGGGUGAGUAACACGUGGGUAACCUGCCCAUCAGAAGGGGAUAACACUUGGAAACAGGUGCUAAUACCGUAUAACAAUCGAAACCGCAUGGUUUUGAUUUGAAAGGCGCUUUCGGGUGUCGCUGAUGGAUGGACCCGCGGUGCAUUAGCUAGUUGGUGAGGUAACGGCUCACCAAGGCCACGAUGCAUAGCCGACCUGAGAGGGUGAUCGGCCACAUUGGGACUGAGACACGGCCCAAACUCCUACGGGAGGCAGCAGUAGGGAAUCUUCGGCAAUGGACGAAAGUCUGACCGAGCAACGCCGCGUGAGUGAAGAAGGUUUUCGGAUCGUAAAACUCUGUUGUUAGAGAAGAACAAGGAUGAGAGUAACUGUUCAUCCCUUGACGGUAUCUAACCAGAAAGCCACGGCUAACUACGUGCCAGCAGCCGCGGUAAUACGUAGGUGGCAAGCGUUGUCCGGAUUUAUUGGGCGUAAAGCGAGCGCAGGCGGUUUCUUAAGUCUGAUGUGAAAGCCCCCGGCUCAACCGGGGAGGGUCAUUGGAAACUGGGAGACUUGAGUGCAGAAGAGGAGAGUGGAAUUCCAUGUGUAGCGGUGAAAUGCGUAGAUAUAUGGAGGAACACCAGUGGCGAAGGCGGCUCUCUGGUCUGUAACUGACGCUGAGGCUCGAAAGCGUGGGGAGCAAACAGGAUUAGAUACCCUGGUAGUCCACGCCGUAAACGAUGAGUGCUAAGUGUUGGAGGGUUUCCGCCCUUCAGUGCUGCAGCUAACGCAUUAAGCACUCCGCCUGGGGAGUACGACCGCAAGGUUGAAACUCAAAGGAAUUGACGGGGGCCCGCACAAGCGGUGGAGCAUGUGGUUUAAUUCGAAGCAACGCGAAGAACCUUACCAGGUCUUGACAUCCUUUGACCACUCUAGAGAUAGAGCUUCCCCUUCGGGGGCAAAGUGACAGGUGGUGCAUGGUUGUCGUCAGCUCGUGUCGUGAGAUGUUGGGUUAAGUCCCGCAACGAGCGCAACCCUUAUUGUUAGUUGCCAUCAUUCAGUUGGGCACUCUAGCAAGACUGCCGGUGACAAACCGGAGGAAAGGGGGGGAUGACGUCAAAUCAUCAUGCCCCUUAUGACCUGGGCUACACACGUGCUACAAUGGGAAGUACAACCAAGUUGCGAAAUCCCCGAGGCUAAACU
rnacentral:rRNA from 1 species